rnacentral:rRNA from 1 species
UACGUAGGUGGCGAGCGUUGUCCGGAUUUACUGGGCGUAAAGAGCGCGCAGGCGGUCGUUCAAGUCGCGUGUGAAAGCCCCCGGCUCAACUGGGGAGGGUCACGCGAUACUGAUCGACUCGAAGGCAGGAGAGGGAAGUGGAAUUCCCGGUGUAGUGGUGAAAUGCGUAGAUAUCGGGAGGAACACCAGUGGCGAAGGCGGAUCUCUGGGCCUUGCCUGACGCUGAGGCGCGAAAGCUAGGGGAGCGAACAGG